rnacentral:rRNA from 1 species
UACGAAGGGGGCUAGCGUUGUUCGGAAUCACUGGGCGUAAAGCGCACGCAGGAGGAUCGAUAAGUCGGGGGUGAAAGCACGGGGCUCAACCUCGGAACUGCCUUCGAUACUGUCGGUCUAGAGUCCGGGAGAGGUGAGUGGAAUUCCUAGUGUAGAGGAGAAAUUCGUAGAUAUUAGGAAGAACUCCAGUGGCGAAGGCGGCUCACUGGACCGGUACUGACGCUCAGGUGCGAAAGCGUGGGGAGCAAACAGG